rnacentral:rRNA from 1 species
UACGAAGGUCCCAAGCGUUGUUCGGAAUCACUGGGCGUAAAGGGAGCGUAGGCGGCGUGGUAAGUCAGAUGUGAAAUCCCGGGGCUCAACCCCGGAACUGCAUCCGAUACUGCCAUGCUAGAGGAUUGGAGAGGUAGCUGGAAUUCUUGGUGUAGCAGUGAAAUGCGUAGAGAUCAAGAGGAACACUCGUGGCGAAAGCGAGCUACUGGACAAUUCCUGACGCUGAGGCUCGAAGGCUAGGGGAUCAAACAGG